rnacentral:rRNA from 1 species
ACAGUUAAAGCAUUUUUACUGCGUUUGAAUACUACAGCAUGGAAUAACAAAAUUGAACAAGCCAGAAUUCUGUUCUUUUUUCUUAUUUUGGCUUAGUUACGAUUAAUAGGAGUAGCUUGGGGGCAUUUGUAUUCAGAUGUCAGAGGUGAAAUUCUUAGAUUUUCUGGAGACAAACAACUGCGAAAGCAUUUGCCUAAAAUAUUUCCAUUAAUCAAGAACGAAAGUUAAGGGAGUGAAGACGAUCAGAUACCGUCGUAAUCUUAACCAUAAACUAUACCAACUAGGUUUUGGAUGAAAAGUUUUUAAAUAAGAGAAUUCCUUUCGGGGAAAUUUCUUAGAUUGCUUCUUUCAGUACCUUAUGAGAAAUCAAAGUCUUUGGGUUCUGGGGCGAGUAUUCGCGCAAGCGAGAAAGUUAAAAGAAUUGACGGAAGGGCACCACCAGGCGUGGAGCUUGCGGCUUAAUUUGACUCAACACGGGGAAACUCACUAGUUUAAGACAAGAGUAGGAUUGACAGAUUAAUAGCUCUUUCUUGAUUUCUUGGAUGGUGAUGCAUGGCCGUUUUUAGUUCGUGAAUAUGAUUUGUUUGGUUAAUUCCGAUAACGAACGAGAUCUUAACCUGCUAAUUAGCGGCGAAUACGUUAUAUUCUUAUGUGAAAUUGAAUAUAGCUGAAUU